rnacentral:lncRNA from 1 species
CAUCGUAACCAGCCACCCAGCCGCUCGCAACAGGCGGAGGAAAAAAAAGUAGCCAUCAAACCCAUCGAUUCCUCAUUCUCUCGGCUGCCUCGUCGACUCCGACGGUGCCACCGUUCCCCUUUCGUCUCCACCUCGCGCGCGCAGCUCACGACGCUCGCCCUUGUCGCUUCCUGGCGAGGCCAUCCGCGGCCGCUGUUGCUUCUUCCUGGACGCCGCCACCAUCUCCCCACCCCCACGCGGCACCCCGUCUCGCCCUCUCUAGGGUUUUCUCGGAUCAAGAAUCGCUGUAAGCCACAUUUCCCCACCCGUGCUACUCCCGAAUCCGCAAUCCCCAUCCGAAGAUCCUUGCGACCUCCGCCCCAAGAGUCCUCGCCGCCGGCCAGCGCUACCAUCUUCUCGCAGUGCAAGCAGCCAUCGCCUUGUCGCCUUACUUGCCGGCGACCCAGCGCCGCUUCGUCGUCGUCGAGCUAGCGGCGCCGCAGCUCUCCCCUGGAGCCAUUGUCCUGCACCACCUCCCCGCGGACACGGUGCCGGCUGCAGCCGUAGUCUUCUCGUGGAUCCACCGGCCAACACCGCCACCAACCAUCUCGUCCACGGCCAUCUCCUCGCUUCUCAUGGCUGCUGCUCGUCGGCUCCUCCACACCUCUCCAGUUGGUACUGCCAUGCUCUGUGCGUAGGAUACACACUGGUCUGGGAUAUCAAUAAUGUUCCUCUUCUUUUGUAGGUUUCAUGGCUUUGCAGAUGCUUUUGUAGCUUUCAUGUGAUGACGAGGGCCUUCAUUUGUGCGAAUAUACACGAGUUGCUGGCAUUUCUUCAUUUUGCAUAGUACAAACUCUGCUGGUAUGUGCAAAUGAGGCCAUAUGGAUGGUUCAUCACCAUGAGGCUUCAAUCCAUAGUAACCGGCAAGGUCACAAAUUUAUAAUAACAGGAUUGAUGUGCAAAUCUGAUUAGAAAAGGGAGUAAACUACAAUCCGCUGCUUCUUCCACUCCAUGCGGUACACCUGUGAAAUGUGCCUGCUUUGACUAUUUUGUAUACAACAAUACAAGUACCCACCUCUUUCCUCUUGACAAGUGCCCACCUCUCCAUCAACCCCUUUCCUUCUCUCUAGGUGAGUAUUAAAGGUGCACAUGAGCUAGCUAUAUAAUUUUUGGUCUUUCUUCAAUUGACAUGCGUAGAAAAGUUCUAUUAGUUUCUCUAUUAAAUUGUCUAUAUCCAGCUUUACCUUCAUAUCACAUCCAGGUAAAUUGUUCCUUUUCCCUUCACAUGGUGCAUCCUAAACUGCCAGAAUAUAUGCCAUGUGAUACGUCUUAUUUUUUGCGUGCACGUGUGGAUGACAUCGCUAUAUGCAUGACUGUCCCUUUUGGGUAUAUGCCCAGGAUGGCAUCAGUAUGCACACCCAGCCUUAGAAGCAACACCAUUUGUUUAGAAGGUCUGCAUUAUAGCCGCUAAUGUAAAUAGCUGCUGUCAUAUAUAUGGUGUUUGCUUCUUAAAAUUCUUUUGCUUUACAUAAAACUGCAAUCCAGACUAUGAACGAGCACUUAUGGUUGAAAUCCUAUAGCUCUUAAUUAUUAUUACUCUGAAUGUCUACUACUUUGCUAUGCUUCUUAUUUUCAGGGUAAACAUGUGCCAUGAAAAGUUGCAUUAGGUAAGUCUCAGCCAGCUAUUGCUGAUAAUCUGGCAUGAGCUACAUUUUUGUUAGGCUACAUUACUGUUGUUAUGGAAAAAUGAAAAGGUAUUAAACUGGGGUACUAUUGUUGCUAAUCUGGGAUGAGUUAGAUUUUUGUUGGGCUGCAUUACUGUUGUUAUGGAAAAUGGAAAGGUAUUAAGCAGGGGUACAUAUGUGUUGCUAAUCUGGGAUCAACUACAUUUAUUUCCCAGUUAGGUUCAUCUCUAGCAGCAUCAGCUUUAUAGAUCUUUUAUCUUAGUUAAUCCUAUUGAAUAGUGCUAUUUUGCCUUAAUUUUCCUUUCUUAUCUUCUGGAAUAGCAUAUCUUUACUUUCCUAAUUAUUUUCUACAAUAAUAUAA